AGAGUUUGAUCCUGGCUCAGAAUGAACGUUGGCGGCGUGGAUUAGGCAUGCAAGUCGAACGUUAGUAGUAGCAAUACUGCAAAAGUGGCGAAAGGGAGAGUAAUACGUAGGUACCUGCCCUCGGGUCUGGGAUAGCUGCGGGAAACUGCAAUUAAUACCGGAUGAUGUCUCUGGACCAAAGGUGUGAUUCCGCCAGGGGAUGGGCCUGCGUCCUAUCAGCUAGUUGGUGUGGUAAUGGCGCACCAAGGCUAAGACGGGUACGGGGUGUGAGAGCAUGCCCCCGCUCACUGGGACUGAGAUACUGCCCAGACACCUACGGGUGGCUGCAGUCGAGAAUCUUCCGCAAUGGGCGAAAGCCUGACGGAGCGACGCCGCGUGUGGGAUGAAGGCCUUCGGGUUGUAAACCACUGUCAGUGGGGAGCAAAUGCAUCAGGGUUCUCCCUGGUGUUUGAGCGAUCCGCAGAGAGC
rnacentral:rRNA from 1 species